rnacentral:tRNA from 2 species
GCGGGUGUGGCGGAACUGGUAGACGCACCAGAUUUAGGUUCUGGCGCCGCAAGGCGUGGAGGUUCGAGUCCUCUCACCCGCACCA